UGGGACGAUGGGGCAGCCAGGUAAGCUC
rnacentral:piRNA from 1 species